GAGCAAUGUUGAGCAUCUGUUCAUGUGUCUGUUGGCCAUCUGGAUGCCUGUUUUGGAGGAAAAGAAAACAGGAAGGAAACUCCAAGAAACUAGUGUUGACAGUGCACAUGACAGGGGACAUUCCUCUUUAUUUCCCACAUUUUUGGGGACACACUCUCCUGCUCCUGUCUCUUCUCACCAACUUACUCUGAAGCUAAUGGACUUUAAGCAUCAAGACCCCUUCAUUUGCACAGGUGUCUUCAAAAGGUCUGGAAAGAGCCCUAGCAGUAUGUUCACAUGAUUAUAUGUCUUUAUAAAAUUUGCAAAACUAA